GGAGAGCUGGCCGAGUGGUUGAAGGCGCCUGACUCGAAAUCAGGUGUGUCCGUGAGGGCAUCGGGGGUUCGAAUCCCUCGCUCUCCGCCA
rnacentral:tRNA from 1 species